GCUGGGCGUGGUGGCGGGCGCCUGUAAUCCCAGCUGCUCAGGAGGCUGAGACAGGAGAAUCGCUUGGACCUGGGAGGCAGAGGUUGCAGUGAGCCAAGAUCGUGCCACUGCACUCCAGCCUGGGUGACAGAGCGAGACUCCGUCUCAA
rnacentral:SRP_RNA from 1 species